UUUCUACCUUGACAUUCGCUGUUCCCAGUGUCCACCUUGGGGCUUCUCCCUCAAGUCCUUCUUACUUUUAUUGUUUUUUGAGGCACUUACCACCGUUUGAAAAGCCAGUACGUGCCACGUGCCGUGCGAGGUGCCGAGGGUGCGCUGGAGAACAAAGCUGACACUGUCCCUGCCCCAGGGGCACUUACAGUUCACCGGUGGAAAAUAAAAGGCAGUACGAAUAAACAGCAGCUAAAAGAAGAUGAAUCCAUCGUGAAAGUCACACUCCCAGGCCUAGGACACUGUUUCAUCUUUGAAUGCCAAUUGAAAGUGACUUGAUUAGAAACCAGAGUGGAAACGAGGGCAGCAGCCAUGAGUCAGCCUGUUGGGUGGUUCGUCCCCGCCAAGGUAGCAGGGACUUAAACUCCCAUUUGCACCAGGCCAAGCAAGCGAAUCAUAGAGGGUGACCCAUCAGAAGUGAUUCACCAAGAGCAGCUGGUUCUCUGGACAUGGACUCUUGAAGCAGCUUCAGGUGGGUCAACGAUCUCAUAGGCUGUGCAUAAAGGUGGCCAGACAGAAAGGGCUUCCCCUGUAGUUCAGUUGGUAAAGAAUCUGACUACAAUGCAGGAGACCCA